rnacentral:rRNA from 1 species
UACGGAGGAUCCGAGCGAUAUCCGGAUUUAUUGGGUUUAAAGGGAGCGUAGGUGGAUUGUUAAGUCAGCGGUCAAAUGUCGGGGCUCAACCCCGGCCUGCCGUUGAAACUGGCGGCCUCGAGUGGGCGAGAAGUAUGCGGAAUGCGUGGUGUAGCGGUGAAAUGCAUAGAUAUCACGCAGAACUCCGAUUGCGAAGGCAGCAUACCGGCGCCCAACUGACGCUGAAGCACGAAAGCGUGGGUAUCGAACAGG